GACAUGUUAGAUCUUACGAGUGAACACCAGAGCUUGCUCUGUGGGAUCAGUGGCGAACGGGUGAGUAACACGUGAGCAACCUGCCCCUGACUCUGGGAUAAGCGCUGGAAACGGCGUCUAAUACUGGAUACGAACCACGAAGGCAUCUUCAGUGGUUGGAAAGAUUUUUUGGUUGGGGAUGGGCUCGCGGCCUAUCAGCUUGUUGGUGAGGUAAUGGCUCACCAAGGCGUCGACGGGUAGCCGGCCUGAGAGGGUGACCGGCCACACUGGGACUGAGACACGGCCCAGACUCCUACGGGAGGCAGCAGUGGGGAAUAUUGCACAAUGGGCGAAAGCCUGAUGCAGCAACGCCGCGUGAGGGAUGACGGCCUUCGGGUUGUAAACCUCUUUUAGCAGGGAAGAAGCGAAAGUGACGGUACCUGCAGAAAAAGCGCCGGCUAACUACGUGCCAGCAGCCGCGGUAAUACGUAGGGCGCAAGCGUUAUCCGGAAUUAUUGGGCGUAAAGAGCUCGUAGGCGGUUUGUCGCGUCUGCUGUGAAAUCCCGAGGCUCAACCUCGGGCCUGCAGUGGGUACGGGCAGACUAGAGUGCGGUAGGGGAGAUUGGAAUUCCUGGUGUAGCGGUGGAAUGCGCAGAUAUCAGGAGGAACACCGAUGGCGAAGGCAGAUCUCUGGGCCGUAACUGACGCUGAGGAGCGAAAG
rnacentral:rRNA from 1 species